rnacentral:rRNA from 1 species
CCUACGGGAGGCUGCAGUGGGGAAUAUUGCACAAUGGGGGAAACCCUGAUGCAGCGACGCCGCGUGAGUGAAGAAGUAUUUCGGUACGUAAAGCUCUAUCAGCAGGGACGAAAAUGACGGUACCUGACUAAGAAGCCCCGGCUCAUUACGGGCCAGCAGCCGCGGUAAUACGUCGGGGGGAAGCGUUAUCCGGCUUUACUGGGUGGAAUGGGGGCGUAGUCGGCAGGGCAAGGCUGGAGGUAAAGCACGGGGCCCAACCCCGGGACUGCUUUGGAAACUGGGUAACUGGAGUACAGGAGGGGCAGGCGGAAUUCCUGGUGUAGCGGUGAAAUGCGUAGAUAUCAGGAGGAACACCGGCGGCGAAGGCGGCCUGCUGGACUGAAACUGACGUUGAGGCUCGAAAGCGUGGGGAGCAAACAGGAUUAGAUACCCUUGUAGUC